ACUCAAAUGAAUAGACGGGGAGGCGCACAAGCAGUGGAGCGUGUUGUUUAAUUCGAAGCAAAGCGAAGAACCUCACCAGGGUUUGACAUGGAUCUGCAAGCGCACGGAAACGUGUGACCUUCGAGGGUGAUCCACAGAUGCUGCAUGGUUGCCGUCAGCUCGUGGCGUGAGCUGUACCGUUAAGUCGGGUAACGAGCGCAACCCCCACCGUAUGUUAAAUAAUUCAUACGGAACUGCCCCCUUUUAGGGGGAGGAAGGAGGGGAUGAUGACAAAUCCGCAUGGCUCUUACACCCUGGGCUACAAACACCCUACAAUGGCGAAUAACAACGAGCUGCAAGCCGGUAACGGUAAGCCAAUCUCUAAAAUUUCGCCUCAGUUCAGAUCGAGGUCUGCAAUUCGACCUCGUGAAGCAGGAAUUGCUAGUAAUCGCGAAUCAGCAGGUCGCGGUGAAUACGUUCUCGCCUCUUGUACACACCGCCCGU
rnacentral:rRNA from 1 species